UUUGACCGCGCGCGUGUGGGCGCUGACCUUGCGGGACUUCUCCAGCAGCUUGCUCACCGUGUUGCUGGUGGAGGCCUGGUACUUGGAGAGCUUGGUGAGGUCAUUCUGGAUGCCCUUCACGGAGCCCUCCAAACUGAUCUGUCGCUGCUCCAUCUUGUGCUGGUUCUCCUGCACAGCGUCUAGCAUGUUCACCAGCUUGUCCAGGAGCGUGAGCACCGUGACUGCGUUCACCUGCAUUGUGGCUCUGGAGACCUGGAAGCACUGCUAACUGUUCUCUCGAUUUUCUGACGCUUGGCCACAUCAACCUGUCAUGCUAGUUGUGAGGAGAAGUCAAGGACAGUGACACAGCCAGCCAGUCUGAGGCAUUUUCCAUCAUCCUGAAGGAGUUGCCCUAUCCUGCUUUUCACUGGAGGGGGCAUAGAUGGGGGCUCUUGACACACUGACCUCUGUCAGUUCCUUCAGCACACCAAGCUAAUCCCCAGUCUUGCGCCUUUGGACCA
rnacentral:antisense_RNA from 1 species